ensembl:lncRNA
AGUAGCUCCAUUCAUUGAAUAGAGAGCUGGUUUCUGAUCAGCUUCAAAUCCUUAAUGUUUUAUUUGCUAGGCUUGAACACACGCCCAAUCUUUGUGUAAUCAGCAACAUGAUGACAAGGAAGCGGGACAGCUAUAUUUAAUGCUGUUAACCUCUGCUUUUGUGCAUUUCAAGCAAGGACAAUGGGGCACAGUGACAUCCUCUGAAGAAGGUUUUUGGAGACAGCACUCAAAUUGCGUAAGAGAAGUGCAAACAAGAAAGCAUAUGUGACAGCCAGCUCAUUGGCUGCGUAUAAUGCGGUUAUUUUAGUGGGUGAUACACAUACCUAUGCGUGCACAUGUGACCAAGUGUCAUGGGAUGUACAGAAGGACUGAUUGAAACCAUGCCUUUCCCACAUCUGGGUUAUAUUAUUCCAGAGAGCAAAUAUGCAGCCCGAAAUCCCUGUGGAUAAUUAGCCUGACAUGCUGCUUAUCAGAAGGCACCCUUUCCCAGCACAGCUCAGCAGAUGAGAAGAUCGGAGUAUUGAACACCAAAGCUAUUUGUGAGCCACGUCUAGUUUCUGAUGGAGGUUCACUCGUGAUGUUAAUAGAUCUGCACAGAAGGUGCUGGCAUGUUAGAAAUAGUGUGAAAAUGUCACACCUUCAUUUCAGCCUGUGUAUGAUUAUUUUUAUCUGUAAUUCCUUCUAUUAAAGCCAAGAGUAAG